UACAUUAACCCGAAUUCAAACUUGCAUUUCGACCGUUAAUCACGAGCGUCAAUUUAAAAAUAAACACAAAUGCACGCGCGACGGUUAUUUUGGAAAAAAAAGUCGUAACGUUAAAGCGUAACGGUAUGUACUACUUGGUAACGCUAGCUUUCACAGCCAGUCAGUCAGUCGGUUAGCUAGCAGCAUAUUCGCCGGUACAAAACGUGUAGCCUUUUAACACUGGUGCAACCAGUAUGUCUUUAUUCUUCCUCAACGUUUAAAGACGACUUUCUCGAGUCACGGUUGUCUCUGAACAGGUCUCUGUCAUCUCGAUUUCUUUGUGAACAGGGCAAUAUAAAGAAAAGCUUGAGCACAGCUUUUACAUGAAGCUUUUACACAUCUCUGUAAUAGGACCCUGUUCAUGUGAGAAUGAUUGCCUGGAUCGCAUUCAACAGUGUUCUCUGAUUCACCACCAUUGUCAGUGUAAUGGCUGAUGAUACUGAGGCGAUGCUGUCUGUUUACUUGGUACAAGGUUUGAAGAUGACAGGUGACAAAAGAUGCAGUAAAGGUAUAACAUACUUUACUCAGGCAUUUCUGGAUUUUUGAAAGAGACAGAAGAACCCUCACUGAAAGUUUUGUAGAGUGUUAGUUAUAUGUUUAUCGAGUUGCUUUGCCAUGUGUUCUGUCAAAUUAUAGCUCUUUGUCAGAAUCUGACUCGCCUUCGUGAAUAUGCUGCAGUCCCACAGCAGAAUGAGUGUCAAAUAUUGUAUUUCUGUUUAUAAAUAAUGGUUAAUCUUCUGUUACAGUAAAUAAAUGAAUUUCUAGUGUAA